GAUGAAGAACGUAGCGAAAUGCGAUACGUAAUGUGAAUUGCAAAUUCAGUGAAUCAUCGAGUCUUUGAACGCACAUUGCGCCCCCUGGUAUUCCGGGGGGCAUGCCUGUCCGAGCGUCAUUGCUGCCCUCAAGCACGGCUUGUGUGUUGGGCCCCGUCCUCCGAUCCCGGGGGACGGGCCCGAAAGGCAGCGGCGGCACCGCGUCCGGUCCUCGAGCGUAUGGGGCUUUGUCACCCGCUCCGUAGGCCCGGCCGGCGCUUGCCGAUCAACCCAAAUUUUUAUCCAGGUUGACCUCGGAUCAGGUAGGGAUACCCGCUGAACUUAAGCAUUUCAAUAAGCGGAGGA
rnacentral:misc_RNA from 1 species